AGGGGUAUAGCUCAGUGAUAAGAGCACAUGCUUAGCAUGUACGAGGGCAUGAGGUCCUGAGCUCAAUCCCCAGUACCUCCA
rnacentral:tRNA from 1 species